rnacentral:rRNA from 1 species
GUCCACGCCGUAACGAUGAGUGCUAGACGUUGGGAAGCUUAGCUUUCAGUGUCGCAGCUAACGCAUUAAGCACUCCGCCUGGGAGUACGGUCGCAAGAUUAAACUCAAAGGAAUUGACGGGGCCCGCACAAGCGGUGGAGCAUGUGGUUAAUUCGAAGCAACGCGCAGAACCUUACCAACCCUUGACAUGGAAAGUAUGGGCUUCAGAGAUGAGGUCCUUCAGUUCGGCUGGCUUUUCACACAGGUGCUGCAUGGCUGUCGU